UGUGCACCACCCGCCAUGGCGGGGCAGGUUCUUGGCUCUGAAUGAGAAUGUUUUCUUGAGCAGGUCAGAGAAGUGUAUCUAAAGAACGGGUUCGUUAAAGCAGGAGUAGCAGGGAAUGGAAGCUGCCUCGCAGGCGGCAAAGAGGGAGCGAGUAAGAAUGGGGCAGGAAAGGGUGACUUGCCGAACUCCUGCUCGGCAGUGGGCGAAUCCCUCGCCAACUUCUAAAGCCAGGCUCACCUGGUGUCCAGCGUCCGCUCGGGUCUGCACAGCGUGGGAACUAAGUCCCCACCAGCCCAGGAUCUGGGGGUGCUGCAGAGCCCUGGGUGGAGUGGCAUUAUGUGCUGAGCGCUCCCCAGAGGCAAAGACCGGAGAUUUUCAGGCAGCCUCCUGAAGGGCACUACAGUACAGCUGCUGUCCUGUCCGGGUCACCUGCGCGACGGGAACUGGCCAGCCCCGCUCAGAGCUCCCAGUAGCCCCUCCCUCCUCCUCUGCAGUAGAGCAGAGACAGCGAAGACUUGUGCUUCCGUCUGGAAAAGAGAAUGAAACAGGGAUGUGACAAAGACACUUGCUUUUGGAAGAGCCCAGAGACAAAGCGCAGACUCUUCCCGGGAAGUGGGACUGGUCUCUCUCCUGUCAGCACGUCGUCUGUCAGCUCAGUGUGAGAGCACCCAUAGGACCCAGGUGGGAGGAAGGGAAGUGCUUCCUCGCCUACGGGCCGUGCAGGCAACAGCCGGGAUAGGGCCCCAUGUGGGGGUGGGCGGGGGCCCUGCCGAGGGGAUAGGUCCAUUUCCCACCCUGGCGUGAGUAUGGUCCCACGAGUCGGAGGUCACGGCCCCUGGCUGGGGUGGGGGUGUGCAGGGAGGGCUGUAUGUGGGGGAAGGGGGCUGAGAUGAGUAGGCAGCAGGAUGUGGGGGCUGCCCCCCCGUAGAGGGGAGACAACCAGCCUGUGCCCCAGCAGGGACCCGGAGGAGCUGGGGGAUGGUGGUGCGGGGCACAGAAGCAUCCCCGUGUCAAGGGUCAGGCCCUGCCCGGUCUUGUUGCCACAUAGCUGCGUCUGGGGAGGUCUCUCCCUGCCCACCAGGUGAAGCCUCCACCUGGACAGGGCUGGGUUCUCGAGUCUGAGCAGAAAGAAUUCCCUAGCGGGACAGAUGAGCGCAGGACAGAGACGAGCGGAGACUGGUGCUUAAGUCUGGGAAAGAGAACGAGACAGCAUAGUAACAAGACGCUCACCCUGCAGGAGGGCAGAGACAGAAGGCAGGAGGGUGGGCAGUGAGCGGGGAGACUGUGCCCAAGUGUCCGUCCUCUCGACUUUUCGUAAGAUGAGCUCAGCACGAGGCAUUCCUUGAUCCUGCCCUCCUCCGGGACAGGGGGAACCCCAGAGCAGUGGGGACACCCCAGUGAGGCCUGCUUGCCCUGCCUGAAGACAGGUUUGGAGGAGGAGCUGAUCAUGAUGAUCGUCCCACGUCCCUGCCCUACCUCAGUUUCCCUCCCGCCCGGAUCCCUCACAUGCGAGGCCCGCCCAGCACCCACUCGUGCCGCUGCUUUGGACAUCACCAGCAUGUGACCCAGAGGCCCAUUGAAGCACUGAUUCAUUGAU